rnacentral:lncRNA from 1 species
ACAAAUUCAAGAAAUUAUAAGGACCACCAUACCUACAUCGACACAGAAGAAGGGGGCGAUGGAACGAAAAAAUCGCAACAACUUUACAACUCAUACCAUCUUCACCAACUUAUCCCGUGCCUUUGAUGAGAAAACAAGAUAACAUCAUCCCUCAGUAAAAUGGAAGUUAUGGAACAUCAUCCCUCAGUAAAAUGGAAGUUAUGGAACAUGGUCCUGCUCAAGAGUUUCAGCGACAACGAACAAACCUGUAAUAUGUAGGCCUGCAAUUAGAAGAAGGAAGCAGAAGCCAUCAAUACCACAAAGCAUAGUAGUAACAACUCAUCAUUUCCCUCUUAAUUCAAGAAACAGCUCUUUGUCCCUCGUCUUUGAGUUGUUCUGUCUCAAGGUUCCCAUGCAGAUCCUGCAAUGUGAUAGAAAUGAGAUUAGGAGGCUCCAUGGAUUCUAAAACAAACACAAACUAGUCCAGAAUCCCAAAAUUUUACAGUCUGAUAGAGGCAACGGUAGCAAUAUUAAAGAUACCACGAGAAAUUCACACAACAUAAGAUAUAUGAAUGCUACUACAUGAUUUAUACCCUCAAAGGCUCAAACUGUCACCAGCUUAUUAACACCAUAUGGAUGCAAG